UUUCGGAAUUCGUCGUCAUCGUAAACUU
rnacentral:piRNA from 1 species